GCUGGCGGCAGGCUUAACACAUGCAAGUCGAGCGCUCGUAGCAAUACGGGAGCGGCAGACGGGAGAGUAACACGUGGGAACGUACCCUUCGGUUCGGAAUAACCCAGGGAAACUUGGGCUAAUACCGAAUACGUCCGAAAGGAGAAAGAUUUAUCGCCGAGGGAUCGGCCCGCGUCCGAUUAGCUAGUUGGUGAGGUAAUGGCUCACAAAGGCGACGAUCGGUAGCUGGUCUGAGAGGAUGAUCAGCCUCACUGGGACUGAGACACGGCCCAGACUCCUACGGGAGGCAGCAGUGGGGAAUAUUGGACAAUGGGCGCAAGCCUGAUCCAGCCAUGCCGCGUGGGUGAUGAAGGCCUUAGGGUUGUAAAGCCCUUUCGGCGGGGAAGAUAAUGACGGUACCCGCAGAAGAAGCCCCGGCUAACUUCGUGCCAGCAGCCGCGGUAAUACGAAGGGGGCUAGCGUUGCUCGGAAUCACUGGGCGUAAAGCGCACGUAGGCGGGUCUUUAAGUCAGGGGUGAAAUCCUGGAGCUCAACUCCAGAACUGCCUUUGAUACUGAGGAUCUCGAGUUCGGGAGAGGUGAGUGGAACUGC
rnacentral:rRNA from 1 species